rnacentral:rRNA from 1 species
CUGACGGAGCAACGCCGCGUGAACGAUGAAGGCUUUCGGGUCGUAAAGUUCUGUUGUCAGGGAAGAACAAGUACCGGAGUAACUGCCGGUACCUUGACGGUACCUGACCAGAAAGCCACGGCUAACUACGUGCCAGCAGCCGCGGUAAUACGUAGGUGGCAAGCGUUGUCCGGAAUUAUUGGGCGUAAAGCGCGCGCAGGCGGUUCCUUAAGUCUGAUGUGAAAGCCCCCGGCUCAACCGGGGAGGGUCAUUGGAAACUGGGGAACUUGAGUGCAGAAGAGGAGAGCGGAAUUCCACGUGUAGCGGUGAAAUGCGUAGAGAUGUGGAGGAACACCAGUGGCGAAGGCGGCUCUCUGGUCUGUAACUGACGCUGAGGCGCGAAAGCGUGGGGAGCGAACAGGAUUAGAUACCCUGGUAGUCCACGCCGUAAACGAUGAGUGCUAAGUGUUAGAGGGUUUCCGCCCUUUAGUGCUGCAGCAAACGCAUUAAGCACUCCGCCUGGGGAGUACGGCCGCAAGGCUGAAACUCAAAGGAAUUGACGGGG